rnacentral:rRNA from 1 species
GCCAAACAGCUAGCUUAACCACUCAAAUAACACAAUAAUAAAAAUAACACAGCAUAACCGCAACACACAAACCAAACCAUUUUACCACCUUAGUACGGGAGA